GGUCUUCAUGCUCUAAUGAGAAAAACAAUCGCAAAGAAUUUCAAAAAUGUUAAUAAAACCGCUCGAACAAGUUUCAAUAAUUAGAACGCAGUUUGGUUUUUUCAUGCGGCCUAGGUGACACAGAUUUCGAUCGAGAGAUAUUAAAUGGGACAUGUAAUGACCCUGUUAAAACGAGUUGGACGUGUCUUAAAUAAUAAAAAGUUGGCAAAAAUUACAAAUGCCAAGCGUUAAUUGGACAAUUAUUAUUGUGAUAAGUGACUGAUAAAAGAAGCAGUGACCCUUCAAGCUGACUUACCCUUGACUGAUAGUUCAACUCCUUCAUCAGAAUCCAGACUUUGGGAAUCAAGUUCCAUACUUUUUCGAAAAACUCACAUCACUGGAACACAACGACUACUGAAGGACAACAAACAAACACACGUGUUAUGCAGAAUCCACCAGAGGAAAACAAUAAAUGAUUACAGUAUUAAUUUA